GAGGGUAUGGCUCAGGGGUAGAGUGUGUGCUUAGCAUGCACGAGGUCCUGGGUUCAAUCCCCAGUACCUCCA
rfam:Camelus ferus unplaced genomic scaffold scaffold2881, whole genome shotgun sequence.